UACGUAGGGUGCGAGCGUUAAUCGGAAUUACUGGGCGUAAAGCGUGCGCAGGCGGUUGGUUAAGUCUGAUGUGAAAGCCCCGGGCUCAACCUGGGAAUGGCAUUGGAAACUGGCUGGCUAGAGUGCGGCAGAGGGGGGUGGAAUUCCGCGUGUAGCAGUGAAAUGCGUAGAGAUGCGGAGGAACACCGAUGGCGAAGGCAGCCCCCCUGGGCUGACACUGACGCUCAGGCACGAAAGCGUGGGGAGCAAACAGG
rnacentral:rRNA from 1 species